rnacentral:lncRNA from 1 species
AUUAUGGCAGGUUGUAGUAGAAAAAAGAAUGCUCUAUUUUUUGAAACAGCUGGACACCUAUAUUAAAUUUCUGUAUUUCUGGCACAGGGAGGAUAAUGAUUGCUGGUCCACCAGGGCUGGGGAGACAAUCGAUAAUUUCCUUUCCUUAUAGAAAUGGAGCUUGUUGGAGUUGAGAACAGACAGCAGAUCAGUCAACACCCUCAAUUUCCAGUUGAGACGAUGAAAGCUGAGAGGAGUAACAUGACUUCCCCAAGGUCACAAGAGUUCAUUUUGGAGCCUGAAGUUUUCCUUGCUUAAUUGAUGAAGGACUAAUAAAGAAUGCCCUGUUCCCUGGACUACAGUUCUCUCGAUGGCAGGAUCCUCAUGUCACUUUUACGCACGUAUUAAAUUGCUGCCCAGAAGCCAAAUCUUCUACUCUUGCGAACUUAAUGGAAAGCUAGGGAGGCGGGUGGCGGCAGCAGCAUCAUCAUCAUCAUCAUCAUCAUCAAUACUCAAGGAGCGACGCUUGGGUCAUACCCAUGGCUAUCCCUGGUCACAGGAUAAAUUGGAACAAACAGAGCCCCAUGAUUGGAGAAAAGGUCCCUUGGAGCGACAAGGACUGAAGAAGUGAGUGUUUUGGAUAACAGCUGGUAAAAGAGGCCUCAAGCUCCAAAGCGUAGAUCUCAGUUGUAAAGCGCUGUGCCACCUUCGCUGAGGCCGGAAGUAAGAAAACUUUCUACCAAAGGACAGAUGGGACACCUCCCAGGAAAGCUUUCCCUAAAUUAUUUCUUCUAAGUAAAAGGAGAGACCUUUAGGAGGACGGUAGGAGGAGAGCAAAGGGAGUACUGAGCAGAUCUUCGUAGCCAGCAGGCUGUGAAUUCUUUUAUGACAAAGUGCUGUUACCGAGCACGGGCUUGCCACCUGAUGCCCACAGAAGCUGACACCGUGGCACCCUGGUUUUUGAGGGAAGAAAGGCUGUGCUGCUAGACGGAUCUGCAAGGCUGACUCUGUAUCUCAGGGGUUCAUCCUAUGGGGCUUCAUCUCUGGCCCUGAGGACUCUCUUCUGUGUCACGGGGGCCUAGACACCUGAGAACUGCACGUCUAGGACCUCCUCCCCAGCUGCUCUCCAGGCACGUCCUGCCAGUAGGAGGCAGUGCAGGGCAUAGGAAUGUGAAGGGGUGAGAGAAGGCUCUGUCAGAUCCUGCUUUUAGCCGUCACAGCGACAGCAGGGGCAGCCCGGCAGCCUCAGGUGUGUGGGGCCUAUGGACUCCUGACUCUGGCAGCAGCAAUGGUGAGGACAGCUGUGGGCUGCUGCAAUGGCGGUGACAGUGACGGCAGAGGCGACUGCAGGCUCCAGCAGCAUCAGUGGGAAAUUGUCUGUCCAGGGACGAUUGGCAAGUGGCUGGCUUUAAUGCUUCAUGUGGGAGAAGUGGGGAAAAUAAGGUUGCAAAAGUCGGAUGCAUCGAGACUUUGGAGAAGCUGACAAUGGGGCAGAGAGCUGUGCUGUCCGUCUGAGGGCGACGCGUGGGAGAGCUGGUGAGCUUCUCCAGUUACACCCAGAACUUAGACAUUCGGAGAUCAAAACGGGAUAUUCAUUUUUUCCCUGUGUGACAUAUUCUUUCACCUCGAAUCUCUUGUUCAUGGAUAGAGACAAGACCAGACUGUGGAAGAGCAGGGACAGACCCGUCUAGUGUCAUUUCCUGUGAGAGAACUUGUAAUACCUCUGUUAAUAAGAAUUCCUUACAUUUUUAUAGCAUUUUGUGAGAACUUCUAGUGUGCGUUAUUUAACUUAUCCUUGCAACAAAACUGCUGGGUAGGUUUAAUUAUGGUCCUGAUUUCACAAAUGAAGAAACGAAUAUUCGGACUGCUACGUGAUUUGCCCAAAGAUACACUGCUGGGGCAGAGCUGGGCUUCAGCCUUGGGGCAUCUGACUCCGUUUUCUUUUCAGUUUUCUCUGACGUAGUGUUUCUCUACCUUUACAAAGGUCUUAUCUCCUAUUUUGAGAAACUCAAAAAUUUCCGCCUCUUCUUUCAUGUUUACUAUAGAUUACUUUCUGAGCCUGUUGUGCUACGAAGAUUUCAUACACUCAUAAAUUUCGAUGUUGAAUAUGUGGAUACAUAAUGCUCAAGAAGGAGGCAGGGCUUCCUCCCUCUGCAGUCUCUGGUUCAGAAACACUGCCUUUUCAUCACAGUGCUGCUCUUUGUUAUUUUAGUUGGUCUUUAUGAUGACAAAAGAGUGCCAAUCCUAUUAUAUCUGAAGUUCCAGUUUUUAGUUACUAAUUUUUAUUCAUUUAUGAGUUAGCUAGAAUACAUCUUCAAGUUACUUUUCAAUAAACAUGGAAGGGAAUAUAUACUUAUAUUCAGAUUUUUGCACAUCUGAAAUGUGUAGAAAAUUCAGAUUGUUGCAUAUCUGAAAGCUCUUUCAUACAUGAGAAAGUGGCUGCUCACAAGUCUUGGAACACAAGCUUCUCCCUCAGAAGUCUCUAUAUGUAGCUGCACUGGCUUCUGGCAUUUAUUUUUGCAGACAAGCAUGAAGUUGUGGAAAUUAAUAAAGAGAAACCUCAUUAAAUUGGAGUCAGGAGGCCAAAAGGGGGAGCUCUCACUCCUUGUAUCUGAGCAGAGUCAAGAAGCUCAGCCCGUGAGAGACUGUCACAACUCAGCCAGCACGAAGCCACUAGGGGUGGUGCGAACUUGCAAUUCCUCCAGCGGACUCUGUUUACAUAGAGCCUCGCUUUCCUCUUCCCGUGUCUUAGAGCUUCUCCUCCUUGCUGCUGGGGGACUUGCCCCUGGCUCGCCAUGGUUGCAGACCCCAAACUGCAAUUCUUUGCUGAUCCCGAAUAAACCCAUUUGUACUGUAGAAAUAACUGGCUGUUUGUUUGUUUAAGGUCAACAAAGUCAACUGGUUUUGUUCCACUUACAUAACUAUUUUUGAUUUAUGCUUUGUUUUUUUUCUGGCUCCAAGGCUUUUUAAUUGUUGCAUAAAAAUUGCAACUAUCUUCUGGG